GAUGAACGCUGGCGGCGUGCCUAAUACAUGCAAGUCGAGCGAACGGACGAGAAGCUUGCUUCUCUGAUGUUAGCGGCGGACGGGUGAGUAACACGUGGAUAACCUACCUAUAAGACUGGGAUAACUUCGGGAAACCGGAGCUAAUACCGGAUAAUAUUUUGAACCGCAUGGUUCAAAAGUGAAAGACGGUCUUGCUGUCACUUAUAGAUGGAUCCGCGCUGCAUUAGCUAGUUGGUAAGGUAACGGCUUACCAAGGCAACGAUGCAUAGCCGACCUGAGAGGGUGAUCGGCCACACUGGAACUGAGACACGGUCCAGACUCCUACGGGAGGCGGCAGUAGGGAAUCUUCCGCAAUGGGCGAAAGCCUGACGGAGCAACGCCGCGUGAGUGAUGAAGGUCUUCGGAUCGUAAAACGCUGUUAUUAGGGAAGAACAUAUGUGUAAGUAACUGUGCACAUCUUGACGGUACCUAAUCAGAAAGCCACGGCUAACUACGUG
rnacentral:rRNA from 1 species